ensembl:snRNA U6 U6 spliceosomal RNA
GUAAACUUGGGCAGAACGUAUACUUAAAUUGGAACAACACAGAGGAUAUUAGCCUGGCUCCCGUGCAGGGAUGACAUUCAAAUUCGUGAAGCAUUCCAUAUGUUU